AUGAGCUAAAUUUUUCUUUACUUCUUUUCAACUCAUUCUUUUGGAGUUAACUGACCCUGUCAUGGUGAUCAUGUUUUAUUCUUGUCUUCCCAAAUAAAGUUAUAAAUAUUUGAAGUGACCAGAAUGAGCGUCAGAAUACAUAUUAAGGUGACAAUUCUUUGGUCUAAGAGGUUGACAGAGAAGUAGAUUAUAGUCAGCCUGUUCAUUUAGUCAUUCAUUUGAAGAUUGUGAGGUUGGAAAGCAGAGGUGUAAGGGGCAAAAGACAUUCUAUCUUAGGUAUAUGGUAGAGUUUGGGGACUAGCUAAGGAUUUAAAUACUUCAGAGGAAACAUUUUAGUGAUCUGACAUUCUAACCCCCUAAGUCCAGGAGACCUAGUUCUUAGGUUUCAGAUAGCCAGCAGUUAAAAAGGACAAGAAGUGAAUGUGCUCAGAAGCACCUCUCUUUUGCAAUCUGUUGUGGAAAUUUUCCUUUCCUCUUUUGGACUAGAGACAUAUAAACUAGAUAUGCAGGGGAUUAAAAAUAGUGAAGACCAGUAAGGUUUAUGAGUAAAGAUUGUGGGGAAAGGCGGAGAGACAAUUUUUGGAUCAUGAAUCCAUUAUUUAUGUGUUUGCAUUUGAUUUUAUGGGUAAACUAUUCAAUUCUUUGCCACGUUGUUAUUUAAAGUGAUUGUAAUCAAUGGUAGAAUCCUGUGUUCAGAUAAACAGCCUAUGCAGUAUUUUUGUUAAUCACAUAUCUAUUAC
rnacentral:lncRNA from 1 species